rnacentral:tRNA from 1 species
GCGAUGGUAGCUCAGUUGGACGGAGCACCCCUCUGCUAAAGGGAUGGUCGAGGGUUCGAGAGUCCCUCCCAUACCC